GAAUAGAUACCCAGGUAGUCCACGCUAUAAACGUUGGGCGCUAGGUGUGGGCGACUUCUACGUUGUCCGUGCCGUAGCUAAUGCAUUAAGCGCCCCGCCUGGGGAGUACGGCCGCAAGGCUAAAACUCAAAGGAAUUGACGGGGGCCCGCACAAGCGGCGGAGCAUGUGGAUUAAUUCGAUGCAACGCGAAGAACCUUACCUGGGCUUGACAUGCACUGGAAACCGGCAGAGAUGUCGGCCCCCUUGUGGCCGGUGUGCAGGUGGUGCAUGGCUGUCGUCAGCUCGUGUCGUGAAAUGUUGGGUUAAGUCCCGCAACGAGCGCAACCCUUGUCCUGUGUUGCCAGCGCGUAAUGGCGGGGACUCGCGGGAGACUGCCGGGGUCAACUCGGAGGAAGGUGGGGAUGACGUCAGGUCAUCAUGCCCCUUAUGUCCAGGGCUUCACACAUGCUACAAUGGCUGGUACAGAGGGCUGCGAUACCGUGAGGUGGAGCGAAUCCCUUAAAGCCGGUCUCAGUUCGGAUCG
rnacentral:rRNA from 1 species